GGAACCAGGGUACAUGUUGUCAUUCCAUCUAUAACUGUUGUGUACUUAAAUGUGAUAUUUAAUGUUGGUUAGUUCUCUCUAUUGAGGAAACACAGUUCCAUUUUGAAACGCCUAACAACCACAGACGCUUUAUCAUCAGUGUCAAACACGUGGGAUCUGAAUCACGGCGUGAAAUCGAGCCUCUGCAGAAGGAAAGCUCGCCACCGAGCAGCCUGGCUGGUACGGCUCCGCCUUUGGCAUCAUUUUUCAGUGGCCAACGUGCCAAUUAGAUUUUUACCUCAGAGAACAUGUGACCUCCUAUCAAACAAAACUUUGUAAAAUGCAAGAGAGACCGACGCCGAGUCCAUGCAGAGCAUUUAUGGAGCAACUUUUACUAUCAGUUCAUGUGCAAAGCCACAUUAUAGAGACUGGAACCUAC